GCCCAGAGUCCCAAAUUCUCAAUCCUGGCCGGAGCCAACCUCAGGCCAUGUCCCUGAGGGAUGCACAUGCCCCUUGCCAGUGUGUAGCUGCAUCUCUCUAGGUGCUUCUGUUAGCUUUCUGUCCUACUCAUGUCUGAGUUGCUGGCGGCUCUCUGAGAUCCUAAAGAAGAUUUCACCCACUUUGGAUAAUGGACUUGACAAAGGAUCAAGGCCCUUUAAGGAGUGGAGCAGAGACCACAAGCCUGGCCCACUGUGACACUCUGUCUCCCCUGUUUGCCUUCUUCCCACUGGAGAGCUGAUAAGUCUGCUCGUCUUCCCUGCCCAGAGCUCCGGAGGGUAGAGCCCAGACCCCUGAAUGUGGGCCAGCGCAGACACCUGUCCUCUCCCAGAGCAGAAGCAAUAACAGGGUCUCACAUGUGCUCCGUCCUGCCGGGGACACUGCAUGUCUCCUUACUCAAGCCUCUCAACAAGCCUGUGAAUCAGCGGUUACUAUUCCCAUGUCACAGCUGAGGAAGUUGAGGACCAAAGGAGAUGACUGAUGUUUCUCACACUUUAGUGUGCUCUGGAAUCACCUAAAGAAUCUUGCUAAAUACAGAUUCUGGUCUGGGUUGGGA